UCCCUGGCGGUCCAGUGGUUAGGACUCAGCACUGCCACUGCCGAGGGCCCAGCUUCAAUCCCUGGUCAGGGAA